AUUGAACGCUGGCGGCAGGCCUAACACAUGCAAGUCGAACGGUUACAGGAAGAUGUUUGCUUCUUUGCUGACGCGUGGCGGACGGGUGAGUUAUGUCUCGGCAACUGCCUGAUGGAGGGGGAUAACUAAUGGAAACGGUAGCUAAUACCGCAUAACGUCGCAAGACCAAUGAGCGGGACCUCCGGGCCUCUUGCCAUAGGCUGUGUCCUGAUGGGAAUACCUAGGAGGUGGGGUAACGGCAACCCUAGGCCCCGAACCCUAACUGGUCUGAGAGGAUGAACAGCCACACUGGAACUGAGACACGGUCCAGACUCCUACGGGAGGCAGCAGUGGGGAAUAUUGCACAAAGGGCGCAAGCCUGAUACAGCGAUGCCGCGUGUAUGAAGAAGGACUUCGGUUUGUAAAGUACGUUGAGCGGGGGGGAAGGGCAUUAAGUUAAUACCUUUCCUGAUUGACGUUACCAGCAGAAUAAGCACCGGCUAACUCCGUG
rnacentral:rRNA from 1 species